GUACUUCUGAAGAGUCCCAAACUAGGAUGAAACAGCUGUCUAGCAC
rnacentral:hammerhead_ribozyme from 1 species